rnacentral:rRNA from 1 species
UACGGGGGGGGCAAGCGUUGUUCGGAAUUACUGGGCGUAAAGGGCGCGUAGGCGGCCUGCUAAGUCAGACGUGAAAUCCCUCAGCUUAACUGGGGAACUGCGUCUGAUACUGGCGGGCUUGAGGACAGGAGAGGAACGCGGAAUUCCAGGUGUAGCGGUGAAAUGCGUAGAUAUCUGGAGGAACACCGGUGGCGAAGGCGGCGUUCUGGACUGUUUCUGACACUGAAAAACGAAAGCCAGGGGAGCAAACGGG